AUCCAGUUGACGAGUCCUAAAUAGGACGAAACGCACAUCAAACUGGAU
rnacentral:hammerhead_ribozyme from 1 species